GCAUGAUCUUGGAUUUAUGGCAGGUUCAGCCCCAUGGGCCUCUCGUUGUGUCCCAUGCCAGAGCAAACUGUAGCCCUGAACCAUUACCUUGCCUCAUAGCCUUUAGGCUUCUGGCACUGAAGCGGGUUGCACAGUG